AUUGAACGCUGGCGGCAUGCCUUACACAUGCAAGUCGAACGGUAACGGGCCUUCGGGUGCCGACGAGUGGCGAACGGGUGAGUAAUGCAUCGGAACGUACCUUUCAGUGGGGGAUAACGUAGCGAAAGUUACGCUAAUACCGCAUAUUCUGUGAGCAGGAAAGCAGGGGAUCGCAAGACCUUGCGCUGAUUGAGCGGCCGAUGUCAGAUUAGCUAGUUGGUGAGGUAAAGGCUCACCAAGGCGACGAUCUGUAGCGGGUCUGAGAGGAUGAUCCGCCACACUGGGACUGAGACACGGCCCAGACUCCUACGGGAGGCAGCAGUGGGGAAUUUUGGACAAUGGGCGCAAGCCUGAUCCAGCCAUGCCGCGUGAGUGAAGAAGGCCUCGG
rnacentral:rRNA from 1 species